rnacentral:lncRNA from 1 species
UAAAAACUAUCAAUAGUCACUAUUCAUAUAGCACAAUAUAGCAUAUCGAUAUCUUGGUUGAAUUCUUAGCACCGUUCUUACAAUUAAAAUAUAGUUUUGCAAGGGAGAGUUUCUCACACGAAUUACACCACCACAUAUUACAAUAACCACAAUUGUCUUCCACGAAAUGUUGUGCUCUUCAUCAUCUUUAGAUUUAACUAAAAAAAAUCCAAAGCUUGCGAAUCACCACAAAUAUAUGAUUUAGACACACUGUGUACAUUGAAGUAGUACUUAGUCUUCACAAACUCAGCCUAGAGAGAUGGUUGAACUCUAAACAACGAUCAGAAAAUAAGAUAUUUCUAGAUAGUCGUUUGUUUAAUGGUUAUUUUUUUAAUAUUAUGUUGAGUAUGUAAACGAAUGAUAGUCCUACAGAUAUACAUGAAACUCAAAAUUUAGUCCCGUGCAGAGGUCAUAUGAACAGAUAAAGCCAAUACUGCAUUAAAGCUCCUCCGUGCAGAGCUCAUAUGAAUAGAUAAUACCUACAACUCAAAAUUUAGUCUGUUAAUAAAUGAACAAAUCCUCUCUUCCUCACUAGUCACCAACUGCAUAGCAUGUCUAGACAAGGCAUGAAACUUGAUCUCAUAAGCAGCUACAGACAUAACACCUUGCUCCAAAAGCAAAAAGUCAUCCUUCAUGCGAUCUCUCAAAGUCCUAGACACAUAUAUCUCUAUGAACAUGGCAUGAAAUUUGGUCAAAGUAAGUGGAGGUAAAACUGAAUAUUUGCAUUCCAUAUAAACUUUCCACCACUCUUAGCCUCCCAUUGAAGCUGAAAAGUAACGAACUCAAUCCUAUGUUGAUGGAAAAUUCUUAACUUAUGAAGCCUCUCAAAUAAAUCUAAAGUAAACUCAUAAGCAUCCUUACUCUCAAACAAAAAAAUACAUGAGGAUUUAGCUUCAAAAACUUAGUCAACAUUUUAUGGUCAUUACUAGUAAUAACAGGACCCAAUAAAGGAUGGAAGAAAACAUCAUUACCUACAUUUCCUCCCAAUGAUAGCAAUAAGAGGAUUUUUUGGAGCUUGAUUGGCUUGAGCAUAAGAAAGCACUCCUAGACCAACCAACCCUUUCAAGAGUGACAUUAUUAGUUGAUUUAUGUCUAUGGGAGGAAUACUUGUAUUCCCAACCUACACCUCUGCCUCUUUUUAAACCUCCUCUACGUUUUCAACCACACAAUUCUCUUCUAUCUCUUUAUGAUGUAUGGGAAAGACCUGAUUUUGGGGAGAAUUUUCGACUGAUACCGCAUGUCUAGUAGGUGUUGCUCUUCCUCGGCCCUUACCCUUAGCUCUUCCUCUACCACUACCUCGACUACGACCUCUCAUUGCAGAUUUCUCAGCUAGAGCAUUCACCUGAUAUAUGGUCUUGACGCCGUAAAAUCUAAUGUUAACCAUCUACAAAUAGAAGAGCGAAGAAAGUUAGAUACCAGUUACAAUCGACAAAUAUCAAUUGGAAUCAUGUUAUAGAACGAAGAAGACAAAAGAAAAUAAAGUGAUUUCCUAAAGUCCCAUAUCCUCUCGAAAAAAAGUACAAACGUCUCCAUACCAUUCCUAUAGACUCUACAAGAAUCAUAUUUGGACAAAGAGAACAACAAACCUAGGCUUUAAAACCAACUUUUUCACGACCCAGACCAUUGUGAUUGACACUCACACUAACCCUCCAGUGGGAGAACCAUUAAUACUGAUUACUUAACCAUGUCUAAUGCAAUACUAAAGAAUUUAAGUUAUGGAAGCAGUUAAAUAGCUCAAAAUUGAAGUUCUAUAAACUUCCAAAAGAUCUAAAAACUAAACAAAUGGGGAAAUGCGCUUAGAACCUAAAAGUCAAUGUACCAAAACUCUAACAAAACCCAUAAGUCUAAACAAGAAGGGUCACAACCCAAAAUAAUGCACAAAUAACUAAUUAGAAAGUCCAAGUCCGCAAUGAUGGAUAUAGAUGAAAGAGAACUCAUUACAGCUCGUAUGAACUGGCUCACCCCUGAAUUUGAUCGGCUAUCGCUGAUUUUCUAAUUGAGGUGUAUCAUUAAUCGCCUUAAGAUACUCUAUACUCAACAAAGAAAGAGCGGUGAAGUAUCUGUACACAACCACAAUGUACUGGUAGGAUCAAAUAAUUAUUCCACCAAAUGCAACGUAUAUAAGUCAAUACAACAAAAUAAUAACAUACAUACACCGAUCAUAUACAAUAUCCUCAUUAUUUACGAACAACGAAGCAUUUUAAAAUUCUCAAAUACCAUAAUCAUAUUAAUUCAUUGGUCUCUUAUGUAACCUUAACUCAAACUAAUAGCAUACAUGACAUGAUACACAAUCAAAUAUUUAAGCUAGAAAGUGACAAUCGAUCCUAUAAUUAUGCAGAGACGUGGCGACAAAUCAAAGUUAAUGUGUGAGAAUGCAACACCCGAUCCAUUCAACAAUACACAAUCACAAUCACAAGUAUAUUCUUAAAAUCAUACAAUCAAUUCAUGAUUCAUGGCUUUCAUUAUUCAUAUAUCACAUUUACAACAAGUAUGAUCAAUUAUGCAACAUUCACAUGGAUAUGAUGUAUAAUAAUGAAGCAAGAACAAACAUGCAUCACAAAAUCAUAGAAUCACAACCAUUACCUAACUCGAACAAAGCUUGAAUCCCUUGAGAAACUUGAUUGUUUUCUUUCUUGAUUCGUUUUGCUUGUUCUUGGUCUACUAACAAUCAAUAUAAUACGGAAAUCAAUAAACAAUAAUUAAUAAUCCAAAUUAUUAAAUUUAUCAAUCCUAGAUCAUAAACAUGAUCCGCAUGCCCAGAUUAGGACUUUCUUCACCAUAAUUAACUCCAGAUCAAAACUCUACCUUUCGAUAAUUACCCAUUAGAAUAUGUUCAACGGAUCAAAAAAUGGAUCUAGGAGUUAAAAUCUUACAUUUAGCCUAGAGAAUGAUGAUAAUCUAUCAAGAAAACCCCUAGGUUCGUUCCUUAUCUCUCAAGUUUAAAAAUUGCAAAAUAAAGCAUUAUUUGGGGUUUACUUCUGACUUUAAGUCGCGUCUGUCACGCCAUGAUGACACCCAUCCCACUAUAUUGGCCCCACCUUAGAGGCAGAAAUUCCAUCUCAAAGGCUUGCACGGAAAUAUUCAUUUUAUCCUUGAAAUUAUUCACAAUUAAAUAUUCAUUUUAUCCUUGAAAGAUCAUGCCUAUCAAAGUUAUAACUGUUGAAUUCAUAAGUCAAAUUAAAGAAACAGUGAAGAGAAGAGUUCAAGAAAGUCCUUGACUUAAAUUCUGACUCCUUAGAGAUCAACUAUCGUUUUAAGAUGAGGAAGUAAGUAUGGGAUGGAGAAGCUUUGUACCCAUGAGUUAUAUAUUUUCAUUGAUAUCGUUGAGUCAAGUUGCUCAUGUCCAUUACUCCGCACAAACUCUGAAAACUGAUCAUCUUGGAGAGGAGUAGUAUCUCUAAGUUAUAAGUUCUUGAGUAUUGAGUUUCAAACCCUUUUUGCAACUAUAGUUAUUUCAUAAUUAUUGAUUACCAUAUAUCAUACAUGGAGGUCCUUGAGUUGAGUUGGGAUGCCCAUAAUUUCACUUGGACCCUAUUAGUCGAAGAGUUUUAAGUGAAUCCAACUAUGCUCUUGGUUCAAGAAUUAAAGCCAUUCGUUCUUCAAAUUCAUAGAAUAAUAAACGCAGUAGUCUUUUUCUACAGCUAUAUAUAUCAAAAGCAAUUUUGAGUUAUACUACCUCUUCUUUUCCAAGAAUACAUCCGCAAUCAGUUUGUUUGAUUGUAAUAAAUUUCUAAACCCUUUUUAAAUUUUUCCUUCUACAAAUUUAUCUGACUUACUUUUCUUUUUAGUUAAUUCUAAAAAGAAUGACAUUUCUAUGUUAAGUAACAAGUGAACAAUAAAAUAUAUAUUUUACCUUUAAUUAAAUAAGUUGUUUUCACACAAAUUUCUAUAAUUUGCUUGGACCACAAGUUUUAAAAAUCUUUCUUUCUUUCUUAAACUUCAUGUCGAAUAAAACUACCUCAAAAAAUUUUACUAUGUAUGGGGCAUAUAUAUGACGUGGUAGACAAAACUUGUAUCAUACUCCACUUAUACUAUGACAAGUGCAUAAUUGGGUUCCAUUUCAGAAAAUAGUCCAAACUAUCCUUUCUCUCUCUUCCCAUAUAAAUUUCUUUUCAUCUUUCUUACUCUUUACAUUAGAAUAUAUUUAUUGUAUUUUUCUACACAAAUCAUGAUGGGGAGGUUUGCUCACUUGAUUUUUCAUGCAUAGAGGUAGUGGGAGGAAGGGAUACAAGGGAUAGUAGGGGAGAAAUAAUAGGAAUCUCAGGGAGUGGUGGGGAAAGGGAUGUCAAGAAAUUUCAUUAGUUAUACAAAAUAAAGUUGUUGAAUCCCUUAUUGGAGACGCCAUAUCAGAUCUAAAGCUCCAACAACUCGUUCUUCCCCAACAUCAAAUAGAGUAUCAGUUACACCAAAUAAAAGUUUAAUGAUUAUGCCGUUGACGUGAGAGUGCAAAAAAUAAAAUCAUCUUUCUUUAUUUUUCAACUUUAUUCUAUUCUUUGUGUGUAUGUUUUACCCGUAAAAACCCUAGUCCUUCAAGGUGAUUCCAUCAACUAGUUGCAUCAUGUAAUCAUAGAAUCGAAUAAAUCAGUGAAAUUUGAUCAAUCCAAUUGACCUUCAGAGUGUCAUCAAUGGAGCAUUGAUUACUCUUGUCAGAAAAAACAUAAAUUUCCAAAAUGAUAUAAUAGUGUUAUUUCAAAAUCGGUGAGAGUGUGAUAUCCAAAACUCUGACCCAACAACUUUUUAGGAAAACGUAAAGCAAAGAUCAUCCCCACACGUGGAGGCUGGUAACUAAAUUAAACUCACUUAUCCAUUAUCUAUGAAACUGCAUAUCCUACUAUUUAUUUAUUUAUACUUCUAUUUCCAUGCCUCUUGCGAAGAUUUAUAUGUUUACCUUUAUGUUAGAAAACAAGUUGCUCAUUGAUGCAUUUGCCAAUUUAUAGAUUUAUGUAAGAAACUUUUUCUCAACCCCAUAACAAUAUAUUGGGAGUGUGUUGUGACAACCUAAUCCGUCGUUAUUCAAAGGACAUCUAUUGGGGAGUCCCAAUUUUUCUUUAAAAUAAAAUGCCAAUUUAAAAUUGGGAUGACAUGAAAAAAAACCUAAGAAUUAGAAAAUUAGACUCCAGUUGAUAUUAUCCCUUUAUAGUAAGAACUUUCUCAGUAUGGCAGCGUGAUAGCCUCUAUGGAGGGAUCAGCGAGAAAGAAACUCACAAAUUUAUUUUUUUCAAUUGUUCUCUAUCUAUCUAGUGGUAAAACAACCAAUGGUUACUCCAAAGAUCCUCCGAAAAACUGUUCAAAGCUUGAGUAUAGGGGAGAGAGAGGAUGCUAGUUUAAGGUGGGUCAUACCCACAAAUUUUUUAUCUAUGACCUUGAGGAUUAUUCCCUACGGAUCUAGAAACUCAUGUUUAGAGUUCUUCUACGGUUUCGUGGCGUCCAUAUAGGAUAGGCUUUGACUGAGCAGUUAUAUUUAUCUUCACUUACUUUGUACCUUGUAAAUUAUUGGAGUUACAUGCAUAGGCCUUCGAUCAUGGAAUUUGAAUGACUUAAUAUGGAGUUAGUGAUGGUAUAAGUUGAAACAAGUUUGAUGAACUAAUGUUAACCUUGUGAUCAUUUUGGAUGGGAUGUUGAGGGAAAAUAAGUGGUGUGUAAUCGGGUUCCAAGUGGAAAACUGUCUGGAAAGAGUGUCCGAGUGUAAAUGAUGGUUAUUAUUUUCCAUGUUUAUUUAUGUAUGCAUUCUUACUAUCUCUAAAGUGAAACUUGUAUAAUUUCAUGUUAGGGGAGUUGUAGGGGCUUAAUGCGAAGUGAUGAAUUAUUAACUAUCUCAUGCGAUGAAGGUACUUUGUUUACUGCAGUUUUACAAUUGUGUUUGUAUUUCAUUAUGAUUGCGGUUUUGUCUGUGAGAUAAAUGGUUGUCUCAAGUACCACUCUUGGUACAAAAUAUUCAUAUUGUAGGCUCGGGUACUAUACGUGGUAUAUAGUAACAGUUGGCUCGGGUACCAUAUGGGUUAAUAUAACUAAUGGUUGUCUUGGGUAGAACACCUAGUACAUUGUUUAGCAACCUUUUGUAUGUGUAAUUUCAUGAGAGAACUAGGUUUACUAUUUUGUAAAGAAUUUUUACAUUUUUGUCCAUGAGUGACCAUGAUUUGUGUUUAAAUGCUAGAAGGGUUCUUGUUUAUACUGAAAUUACAUGUUAAACACUAUAGAUGAUGUCUUAGAGAUUCUUGAUGGUAUUGGUUACUUGAUAGACGAGAUGAAUCAACUAUUUCUUGUUGUAGCAUCGUUGGUCGUGUUGUUUGUGAAUCUUAAGUCCGUGUGGUGACUAUGACUUCAGCAUGUUAACAAAGAUUGUACUGUAUUGUCAGCCUUUCUGGAUUGGGACAUAAUUGAGAAGAAGUAUUGAAUUAAUGUUGUCUAGUAAGAGUCUUGUAGGAGGUUUACUAAAUUGAUCAAGGGUCAAGUUGUUUUUAUGAGAUUUGUGCUUAAAUGUUGGGACAACUCCUCUUUAAAUUGAAAUUAAAUGUUAAACAUUGUAGAUGAUGUCUUAGAGAUCCUUGGUGGUAUAAGUUACUUGACAGAUGUGAUGAAUCGGGUGGUUGGAGUUGUGUUGUAUCUCUUUUUCAUAGUAUUUUACUCUCUUAGAAGCUCAUGUAUUUUUUUAGAUCUGUUACUUGAGAGGGUGUAGUGUAUUUUUUACAAAAAAAAACUUUAUUUAAUCAAGUUUGGGAAUCAUUUUUUAUUUACGAUAAAGUGAUUAUUUUAUAUUUUUUUUACAUCUUCAUUGCAUAUUUUAAAUUGGGCGUAAGAAUUCUUCUAUGUAAGUAUUAGAAUAGGUGCCCGCACGGCCAGGUGGGUUAGGUAUUUGCAGUGCUCCUAUAUUUUAGAGUUCUUUAAAUUUAUAAGAGUGGUUGCCGAUGUUCAUAAUUCUUUGUAUAUAUUUUUUCGUAGUAGUAUAGAAGCUACUAUUAAGUGGUACACUGUUAGGAAUGUGUUAAUAUUACAUGAUAUUUCCAUUUGUUGGAGAGUUGGAAACACAUUUUAUUGAGUGUGCGAUCAGUUCAGUAUAUAGGGUUAAGAGUUUUUGAUUUGCAUGAGUUUAUCGAGUUUAUACUUCCUAUGAAGUGUACAAUAUGCCCUCAAGAAGAAUUAUGUUGUAUGAUUAGUUUCCCUUCAUUGAAGAAAGGUAAGAGUGAAGCAGGAAGGAAUUUUGAGAUGCACAAUUACAAAAUAGAAUGAAGGUAUUCAUCAUGUAUUAUAUAACUUGGACAAAUUUGAGUUGUGUCUAGUGACACAAGAAAGAGAGGUGGAUUUGAUAAAAAUAGAAGGAGUGAACGCACUAUACAUUUUUGGUCAUUAUUUUCUUUGUAAGACACUUUUCACCAACCAUAUAGUCGUAUAUAGGAAGUUUUUCCUCUAUUGUUUGAGUUUUGUAAGCUUCUAAGAGGGGUUGUGGAUGUUGAUGAUACUUUGUAUAUAUUUUCACGGAAAAGUUUAGCUAAAAUGAUGAAGUGGUAGGUCCAUGAUGUUAAAUGUGUGUAAAAUUGCACGAUGUUUUCCCUUUUAGUUGUGAGUUAGAUACAAAGUUAUCAUAUGCUUUAGUAUUCAGUGAGCAAUCAACUAAGUUUAUACAGUUAUCAGAUCGCAAAGUGCGUGAGUUUAUUAAGUUUAUUCAUCCGGUAAUGUGUGAAAUACAAAAUGAAGAAGCAUUUGUCAAAUCGAUCAGUUUUUCUUCCUUGAUGCAAGGUGGAGUAGGAAAAUGUAAGAUUUGAGAUUGAGGGUGUGCAUCAUGUUCUUUUGACUUUUUAAAAAAUCGGAGUUGUGUCUAAGGAGACUGAAAAGUUAGUAGGGUUCGAUGAACAAAGAAAUAGAUAAGUCGAUUUUACAAUUGUGGUCCUGAUAUCUUUUAAUUAUAAAAGAGUUACAAAGCAAUUCAAAGUUGUAUAUAUGAUAGACUGAAAUGCUUUGGUCCUUAUAAUUAAUGAUACUAGGUCUUUGAAACAGAAACAUCAUCCUUUGAUUUAAUUUCUUAAUGUCUAUCCUUUUAAACUAUAAUCAAAGUCUCCUGAAACAUUGCCAGCAGAAUAAAAAAUUUCACCAAUUUUCUUGAAGCUCAAGUUUCUUGUCCUAUCACCUUUAAGAGCUUUAGCUUAAAAAAUUCUAUUUGGCAAUUCUCAAAUUUUUUCUUUGCCACGAUUUUAUAAUACCUUUCUAGUUCAAUUGCAUAAUCACUAAACUGCCUAAUUUUAAUUAAUAUUAAUUACUUCACAAAUAAUUAACAAUAGCUAUUUCUAAAAAAGUAUUUGAAAGAUUCCAAUUAAUAUACUUACAUAGAUAAAGGAUCUUUCAAUAUUGUAUAGAACUCUCCCAAAAUUGAAAGACUCUUUAUUGAUGCAAGUAUAUUAAUUUGAAACUUUUAAAUGUUUUAGUUUUUCUUAGCUAUUGUUAAUUAUUUGUGAAGUAAUUAAUAAAUAAUUUAAUUAUCCAUUUUGGUUAUUAUGUAAUUGAAGCAUGAAGUUAUUACAACUUUGGGGCAAAAGAAAAAUUUGAGAAUUGCCAAAUGGAAUUUUAAAAGCUAAAGCCCUUAAAGCUGAAACGAUACAAGAAACUUGAGCUUGAAGAGAAAUCGGUGAAUUUUUUUUGCCGCGGUCAAACUUUCUGGAGUCUUUGAGUAUAGUUUCGAAUAAUUGACAUUUUGAUAUUAAAUCUAAGGAGGUUGUUACGAUUUCAAAGAUAGUUACUCUUUUUACCUACUAUAAUUAUAAGUACAAAAGCUCUGUAUUUCAAAAAUAGCACACUAAAAUGCUUUCUAAUGGUUUUAGUAUUAUAAUAUUAAACCAACAACGCAGAAUAGACUCACCUCUUUCCUUGUUUAAGAAACCCAUUUGUCAUUCAAGUUUCUUCAGACAUAACUCGAAUUUUUAAGAAAGUUAGAAAAAACAUGAUGCAUUCCUUCAAUAUCAAACCUUCCAUUUCAGGCUUCACCUUGCAUCAAGGAAGAGAAACUGACCGAACCACAAAAUGUUUCUUGAUGUUGUAUUUCACACUUUAUCAGAUGCAUAAACUUGAUAAAAUCAUGCACAUCACUAUCUGAUAACACUAUAUAAACUCAACUAAUUGCACACUCAAUUCAAAAGAUGUGAUUACCUUGUCGCCAACUCAAGUACAAAAGGGAAAACAUCCAUCAGUUUAAACACACACUUAGCAUCAUGGACAUACCGCUCCAUCUUGCAAUUAAACUACUCUGGAAAAAUAUAUACAAAGCAUCAUCAACAUCCGCAACCCCUCUUAGAAACCUAUAAAACGCGAUUUAUCGGAGAUAUUCCUCCAAUUUAUCUAUGUCAUCCUUUGGGGUCAUUUUGAGAAAAUUGGUAAGCGUCUUCAUCAGACGACUAACAUUACCAUUAAUAUGUGUUGCAAUUGAAGUUGCAAAGCUCCUGAAUAAGAAAAUUCAAGUCAUUUAUCAGCUUUCAUGUGUAUUUGUGUUGUCAUUGUAGUUGUACAAGGAUUUAUGUGUAACUACUCUUUGCUUUAUGAAGCACAUAUUUUAGAGUUAAAACUAUCUACAGUCAAUAUUCAUAUAGCACAAUAUAAGCAUAUCCAUAUCUUGGUAGAAUGCUUAGCACUGUUAAUACAAUUAAGAUAUUUUGCAAGGGAGAGUUUCUCACACAAAUUACACCACCACAUAUUACAACAACCAAAAUUUAUCUUCCAUGGAAUGUUGUGCUCUGCAUCAUCUGUAGCUUUAACUAAAAAAUUCUAAAGCUUGCGAAUUACAAAAAAUCUAUGAUUUAGAUGCACGGUGAACAUUGAAGUAGAACUUAGACUUCACAAACUCAGCCUAGAGAGAUGGUUGAGUUCUAAACCACGAUUAGAAAAUGAGAUAUUUCUCGAUAGUCAUUUGUUUAAUGGUUCCUUUUUUAAAAAAGAAUAUUAUGUUGAGUUUUUAAAGGAAAUAUAGUCCUACAGGUAUACGUACAAUUCAAAAUUUAGUCUCGUGCAGAGAUCGUAUGAAUAGAUAAAGUCGGUUACUGCAUUAAAGCUCCUCCGUGCAGAGGUCAUAUGAAUAAAUAAUACCUAUAGCUCAAAAUUAGUCCCUUACUAAAUAAACAGAUCCUCUCUUCCUCGGUAGUCAUUAAUUGUGUAGCAUAUAUAGAAAAGGCAUGAUACUUGGCCUCAUAAGAAGCCACAAACAUACCACCUUGCUCCAAAGACAUGAACUCAUCCUUUAUGCGAUCUCUCAAAGUCCUAGGAACAUAUUUCUCUAAGAACAUGGCAUGAAAAUGGGUUCAAUUAAGUGGAGGCAAAACUGAAGAUUUGCAUUCCAUAUACGCUCACCACCACUUUUUAGCCUAACGUUGAAGUUGAAAUGUCACGAACUCAAUCCGAUAAUAAUGGAAAAUUCCCAACUUAUGAAGCAUCUUAUAGAAAUCUAAAUUUUUCUCAUAGGCAUCCUCAUUGUCAGAUCUAAGGGUGUCAAAUGAGCGGGUUAUGCUAAAAUUGAAAAUAUUAAAAUGGAUUGAGAUAGAAGUCGAGUUGGAUCUUGAAUCACCCAAUUUGACACGAUUAAUCUCACUAAUUUAACAUAUUGAUAUUUAACUUUUAUAAUCACAAUUUGAAUUUUAGCUCGAAAUUAUUUUUUUGAACAAAUGGAUAGAUAAACCCUAAAAAAUGCUAAAUAGAUAAUAAUUUAUACCUUAAAUAUCGAAACAUAUCUUAAUAAAAAGAGUUAAAACGGGUUGAAAUUGGAGAUUGAGUUGUGCUCAAUUGAGUUCUCUUCAAAUGGGUUAUGCUUGAAUGGCUUGAGAUUGAACCCAAUUCAAAUUAUCUUGAGUCCAAUCCUUAAAAUUAUGGGCGAGUUGGGCGGGUUAUCUAUGUUUGGGUUCACUUUUGACACCCCUAGUCAGAACAAAAAAAUACAGGAGGAUUUAGCUUCAAAAACUUAGUCAACAUUUCAUUCUCAUUACCAGACAUAACAGGACACCCAACAAAGGAUUCAAGAAAACAUCAUUUCAUAUAUUCCCUCCCAUCUUGGGGACAAUGAUAGCAAUAAAAGGAUUGUUUGUAGAUUGAGUGGCUUGAGUAGAAGGAAACACUCUUGGACCAACCAACCCUUUCAAGAAUGACAUAAUAUGUUGACCUAACGCUGGGUCUUUGGGAGCAAUCCCUGUAUUCUUAGCCUGCACCUCUUACUCUUGUCCAACCUCGUCAACAUUUUCAUCCUCUCCAUUCUCCUCUACUCGUUAUGAUGUAUGGGAGACUCCUUAUUUUGGAGAGCACUUUUUACCAAUACCAUGUGUCUAGUAGGUGUCAAUUUUCCUCUGCCUCUAACCCUAGAUCUUCCUCUACCAAUGCCUCGAUUGCAACCUCUCGCUGCAGAUUUCUCAGCUAGAGCAUUGAUCAGAGCCAUGGGCGUGACGUCAUCAAAUCUAGUUUUAACCAUCUACUUACAGAAUAGUAAAAGGAGGUUAAAUACCAAUUGGAAUCGACAUAUACCAAUUGGAAUCAACUUAUAGCACAAAGAAUACAAGAGAAAACAAAGUGAUUCCCUAAAGUCCUAUAGACUCUCGAAGAAAAGUAUAGACGUCUCUGUACAAUUCCUCAAAACUAUACUUGACUCAUUUUGAUACAUCAAGAUCAACAAACAUAGGCUCUGAUUCCAACUUUGUCAUGAUCCAGACCAUUGUAAUUGACACCUACACUAACCCUCCAGUGGGAGAACCAUUAAUACCAAUUAGUUAACUAACUCUAAUCAAAUAUUAAAGCAUUUAAGUUACAGAAGCAAGUUACAUAGCUAAAAUUUUAAGUUCCAUAAACUUCCAAAAGAACUAAGAACUCAACUAAUGGGAAAAAUAUGCCUAGAACCAGAAAGUCAAUACACCAAAACUCUAACAAGACCCAUAAGUCUAAACAAGAAGGGUCACAACCUCAAACUAAUGCACAAAUAGAUACCAAUUUACCAAUCACUCUUCCCCGAGUGACAUAGGAAAAAUAAAUCAAGGAAGGAAAUGAGUAGUAACUGAAUCGACAAAUAAUUAGGGAUACUUGUCUCGCACUUCCUUCUAUGUUUUCUAAGUUUCCCAAGUAGCUUUAAUAAAUUCAGCAUUUCACAAUGAACCUAGUACUUUGAGGUAUGUAAGCUUUGAUAGUAUUGGGCUUAUUUCUAACAAGCCAACCAUUAGUUUCUUUUAGGAAUUUCAUCCAGGAGAUUGAGUAUAUUGAUAAUCUUAUUGAGUUCUUCAGGUUUUGUGCUUCACUUUUCACUAAUGAAAUUCUUGUCGAGUUCUUGAGGUGAGAAUUGUGAAUGUGUGUUGUUCUUGGUGGGUUUUGGUGUAGCAAUUGCUGUAAUUAAGUUUGGUUUAAUGAUCCAAAAGAGUUUGAAGAAAAUCGUUCGAUUCUAGAUGAGUUAGGGAAUGAAUUUGACUAAGAAAGUUCAUCGGUUUUCUGGAUAGGAGAUGGGGGCAUCCUACAACUCACUGCGCCCUAACCAUUGAUUUGUAGGAUAGGGGUCUAGCCCCCUAUACCACUUAGUGCGCUAGAGUUUCUAGGUCCCUACCCCUCUUCACUUUUUUCCGCAAGAGUCCCCUCGAAUCGUACCUAUGUUUUCUACUUGAUAUUCACAAUUGAAAGUAUUCAUUUUAUCCUUGAAAGAUCAUGCCAAUCAAAGUUAUUACUCUGGAAUUCAUAAUUCAAAUUCAAGAAAGAGUCAAGAGUAGAGUUCAAGAAAGUCCUUGAGAUAAAUUUUGACUCCUUUGAGAUCAACUAUCGAUUUGAGCUAAGUUUGAGGAAGUAAGUAUGGGAUGGAGAAGAGUUGUACCCAUGAGUUCUUUAUUUUCAUUAAUACCCUUUAGUCGAGUUGCACAUGUCCACAGUUCCGCAUGAACUCCAUAAACUGAGUAUCUUUAAGAGGAGUAGUAUCUUUGAGUUGAAUGUUCUUAAGUAUUGAGUUGCUAACCCUUUUUACAAGUAUAUUUCUUUCAUAAUUAUGUAUUGACAUAUAUCGUAAAUGGAGGUCCUUGAGUUGUGUCGGUCAUACCCACAAUUUCACUUGGACCCUAUGAGUCAAGGAGUUUAAAGUCGGUCCAACUACCCUCUUGAUUUGAGAAUUAAAAUUACUCAUUAAAACUUCUUUCUUUAAAAUCAUAGAAUAAUAAACCCACUAGUCUUUUUCUGCGACUAUACAUAUCAAAAGUAAUUUUGAGUGAUACUACCUCUUCUUUUUCAAGAAUCUAUCCGGAAUCAUUUUGUUUGGUUGUAAUAAAUUUCUAAACCCAAAAAAGAAAUGCAAAAUACUAAAAUUUAUCCUUCUAAAAAUGUCUCAAUAACCAUUGGAAACUAAUGAUUACCAUUAUUCUAAGUUAUAUGGACGGUGUCUUUGUCUUCAAAUUAAAGAUUGAAAUGAACUUUUACUCUAGCUAAUCAACAGAAUAAAUAUGUUGAGUUUUGCAUAGACUGUUCAUGACUAGAUCAACUUAUUGUUCGUAGUGCCUAUGUGUUGAGUUUAAAACAAUCUUCAAGAAUAUUCUUUAAGCUUAAACUGCAUACACUAGGAUGACAAUGAAAUCUCCAUCAAUUUUUUACUCCCUCUGUCCAAUUUAUCUGACUUACUUUUCUUAUUAGUUAAUCCUAAAAAGAAUGACACAUUUCUAUAUUAAGUAAUAAGUUAACUAUAAAAUGUUUAUUUAACUUUUAAUUAAAUUAGUUAAAGUCAUACAUAUUUCUAUCAUUUGUUUGGAACACAAGUUUUAAAAAUCUUCGUUUCUUUCUUAAAUUUGUCUCGAAUCAAACUACCUCAAAAAAAUUUAUUAUGUAUGAGACAUAUAUAUGACGUGGUAAACAAAACUUGUAUCAUACUCCACUAAUUCAAUUGAUGGCAAUAACAAGUCAAUAUAAAAUUAUAAGUCUAUUAGUGAGUGAAGGGAAAUUUUUCCUUAGCAAAUUUAUAAUCUGUAAAUAAGCUGUAACUCAACUAUUACAAACAACUAAGAAAUACAAUUAUGCGCAAGACAAUUGCCAUAUGCAAUCACGUACCUACAUCACAUAUUCAUAGACUAAUUUCCUUAGCAAAUUUAUCAUAGCAAACAUGCAUGCAUCAAUUAGGAGUACCAAUCAACAUGAAAUAAAUUAGCAUAAAUAAAGGAAGUGAAACAAGGAUUAGAUCGAUAUUUGAAGCAAGACCCAUUAAGCAAAGAAAUAAACAAUUCAAAGGUUACCAUCAUUUUCGGAGUUCCAAGGUUACCAAUCAGCUGGCUUGCCGGAGUUCGCCUGUGGCAGUCUGCUAUCGCUGUUGGUUGUCGUUGCUCGCCGGCUAGACCUGCUAGUUGAUGAUUCUGGUCGGAGAAGAGGGGAGAGGCGGCUCGUCUAUUGGACCAGCCUCCAAUCGCUGCUGCUGGAGUUGUUGCCGGAAACAAGAGGUGAAAGAGGAGGAGCAGCACUGCUCUUACUGUCGUUCUUACCGGCAAGAGAGAAGAGAGAGGCAAAGGGGUUUCUCCGUUUGGAGGGGGCGGGGUUCGUCAGUCUGCAGGUCGCUGCUCGGAGCAGCUGAAGCAGCAGGCUUCAUCCUCCUCACUGCUGGCUGGAGAGGAAGUGAAAUUGAGGAGGCACAUUUUUUUUAAGGGUUAAGGUCUUUUAAGCCACAAAUAGGAAAGAAAUUAG